rnacentral:rRNA from 1 species
UACGUAGGUGGCAAGCGUUAUCCGGAUUUAUUGGGCGUAAAGGGAACGCAGGCGGUCUUUUAAGUCUGAUGUGAAAGCCUUCGGCUUAACCGGAGUAGUGCAUUGGAAACUGGGAGACUUGAGUGCAGAAGAGGAGAGUGGAACUCCAUGUGUAGCGGUGAAAUGCGUAGAUACAUGGAAGAACACCAGUGGCGAAAGCGGCUCUCUGGUCUGUAACUGACGCUGAGGUUCGAAAGCGUGGGUAGCAAACAGG